rnacentral:rRNA from 1 species
AUUGAACGCUGGCGGCAGGCCUAACACAUGCAAGUCGAACGAGUGGCGGACGGGUGAGUAAUGUCUGGGAAACUGCCUGAUGGAGGGGGAUACCUACUGGAAACGGUAGCUAAUACCGCAUACCAUCGGAUGUUCCCAGAUGGGAUUCGCUAGUAGGUGGGGAAAAGGCUCACCUAGGCGACGAGCCCUAGCUGGUCUGAGAGGAGUACCAGCGACACUUGAACGGAGACACGGUCCCGAGUCCGACGGGAGGCAGCAGUGGGGAUUAUUGCACAAUGGGCGCAAGCCUGAUGCAGCCAUGCCGCGUGUAUGAAGAAGGCCUUCGGGUUGUAAAGUACUUUCAGCGGGGAGGCGUUACCCGCAGAAGAAGCACCGGCUAACUCCGGGCCAGCAGCCGCGGUAAUAC